AGAGUUUGAUCCUGGCUCAGGAUGAACGCUGGCGGCGUGCGUAACACAUGCAAGUUGAGCGACGACGUGCUUGAAGUGGCGACAUGGAGGGCGCGAGCGGAGCAGCGGACGGGUGAGUACAACAUGAGAAGCUGUCCUGUGGCGGGGGACAACGUCUAGAAAUGGACGCUAAUACCCCAUAGUCCGAGAGGUUAAAGCAGCAAUGCGCCACAGGAGGCGCUCGUGCCCUAUCAGCUAGUUGGCGAGGUAACGGCUCACCAAGGCGACGACGGGUAGCCGGCCUGAGAGGGUGUCCGGCCACACUGGGACUGAGAUACGGCCCAGACUCCUACGGGAGGCAGCAGUGGGGAAUAUUGGGCAAUGGGAGAAAUCCUGACCCAGCGACGCCGCGUGAAUGAAGAAGGCCUUCGGGUCGUAAAGUUCUUUUAUGCGGGAAGAAGGAAGUGACGGUACCGCAUGAAUAAGCCCCGGCUAACUACGUGCCAGCAGCCGCGGUAAUACGUAGGGGGCGAGCGUUGUCCGGAAUUACUGGGCGUAAAGGGCACGCAGGCGGUGCAUCAAGUCAGCUGUAAAAGGAUGCGGCUUAACCGUAUUAUGCAGUUGAGACUGAAGUACUGGAGUGCUGGAGAGGCAAGUGGAAUUCCCAGUGUAGCGGUGAAAUGCGUAGAUAUUGGGAAGAACAUCGGUGGCGAAGGCGACUUGCUGGCCAGUAACUGACGCUGAGGUGCGAAAGCCAGGGUAGCAAACGGGAUUAGAUACCCCGGUAGUCCUGGCCGUAAACGAUGAAUGCUAGGUGUGCGUGCAGAGAUGCAGGUGUGCCGCAGUUAACGCGAUAAGCAUUCCGCCUGGGGAGUACGGUCGCAAGAUUGAAACUCAAAGGAAUUGACGGGGGCCCGCACAAGCGGUGGAGCACGUGGUUUAAUUCGAUGCAAACCGAAGAACCUUACCUGGGUUUGACAUCCCCCUGACCGGUGAGUAACGUCACCUUUCCUUCGGGACAGGGGAGACAGGUGGUGCAUGGUUGUCGUCAGCUCGUGUCGUGAGAUGUUGGGUUAAGUCCCGCAACGAGCGCAACCCUUAUGGCCAGUAGCCAGCACGUCAUGGUGGGCACUCUGGCAAGACUGCCCGGGAUAACCGGGAGGAAGGUGGGGAUGACGUCAAAUCAUCAUGCCCCUUAUGAUUUGGGCAACACACGUGCUACAAUGGCGUAACAGAGAGAAGCGAUCCCGCGAGGGGGAGCAAAUCUUCAAAUAACGUCUCAGUUCGGACUGCAGUCUGCAACUCGACUGCACGAAGCUGGAAUUGCUAGUAAUCGCGAAUCAGCAUGUCGCGGUGAAUACGUUCCCGGGUCUUGUACACACCGCCCGUCACACCAUGGGAGUCAGCAACGCCCGAAGUCAGUGACCCAACCUUUCAGGAGGGAGCUGCCGAAGGCGGGGCGGAUAACUGGGGUGAAGUCGUAACAAGGUAACCGUA
rnacentral:rRNA from 1 species